rnacentral:rRNA from 1 species
UGCAAGUCGAACGCAGUAGCAAUACUGAGUGGCAAACGGGUGAGUAUAAUGUGGGAAUCUGCCUUUUGGUUUGGAAUAACACGGGGAAACUUGUGCUAAUACCGAAUAAGCCCUUACGGGGAAAGUUUUAAUGCCGAAAGAUGAGCCCGCACUUGAUUAGCUAGUUGGUAAGGUAAAAGCUUACCAAGGCAACGAUCAAUAGCUGUUCUUAGAGGAAGACCAGCCACAUUGGGACUGAGACACGGCCCAGACUCCUACGGGAGGCAGCAGUGGGGAAUCUUGCACAAUGGGGGAAACCCUGAUGCAGCGAUGCCGCGUGAGUGAAGAAGGCCUUUGGGUUGUAAAACUCUUUCGUCGGGGAAGAAAAUGACUGUACCCGAAUAAGAAGGUCCGGCUAACUUCGUGCCAGCAGCCGCGGUAAUACGAAGGGACCUAGCGUAGUUCGGAAUUACUGGGCUUAAAGAGCUCGUAGGUGGUUAAAAAAGUUGAUGGUGAAAUCCCAAGGCUUAACCUUGGAACUGCCAUCAAAACUUUUUAGCUAGAGUGUGAUAGAGGUAAGUGGAAUUUCUAGUGUAGAGGGUGAAUUUCGUAGAUAUUUAGAAAGAACACCAAUGCGAGGGCAACUUACUGGGUCACUACUGACACUGAAGGAGCGAAAGCAUGGGUAGCGAAGAGAAUAAGAUACCCUCGUAGUCCAUGCCGUAAACGAUGGUGUGCUAGACGUUUGGAAAUUUAUUUUUUCAGUGUCGCAGCGAAAGCAUUAAGCCACACCCGCCUGGGGAGUACGACCGCAAGG